rnacentral:rRNA from 1 species
AGCGAACGCUGGCGGCAGGCCUAACACAUGCAAGUCGAACGGACCCUUCGGGGUUAGUGGCGGACGGGUGAGUAACACGUGGGAACGUGCCUUUAGGUUCGGAAUAGCUCCUGGAAACGGGUGGUAAUGCCGAAUGUGCCCUUCGGGGGAAAGAUUUAUCGCCUUUGGAGCGGCCCGCGUCUGAUUAGCUAGUUGGUGAGGUAAUGGCUCACCAAGGCGACGAUCAGUAGCUGGUCUGAGAGGAUGACCAGCCACAUUGGGACUGAGACACGGCCCAAACUCCUACGGGAGGCAGCAGUGGGGAAUCUUGCGCAAUGGGCGAAAGCCUGACGCAGCCAUGCCGCGUGGAUGAUGAAGGUCUUAGGAUUGUAAAAUCCUUUCACCGGUGAAGAUAAUGACUGUAGCCGGAGAAGAAGCCCCGGCUAACUUCGUGCCAGCCGCCGCCGUAA